rnacentral:rRNA from 1 species
GUGGAUUAGAUACCCUGGUAGUCCACGCUGUAAACGAUGGGCACUAGGUGUUCGGGGUAUUGACCCCCUGGGCGCCGCAGCUAACGCAUUAAGUGCCCCGCCUGGGGAGUACGGUCGCAAGAUUAAAACUCAAAGGAAUUGACGGGGGCCCGCACAAGCGGUGGAGCAUGUGGUUCAAUUCGACGCAACGCGAAGAACCUUACCUGGGCUAGACAACGGUGGACCGCCCUAGAGAUAGGGUUUUCCCUUCGGGGACUGCCGGUUCAGGUGCUGCAUGGUCGUCGUCAGCU